rnacentral:rRNA from 1 species
UGCACAUGCUGUGAGCUCGAUGAGUAGGGCGGGACACGUGGUAUCCUGUCUGAAUAUGGGGGGACCAUCCUCCAAGGCUAAAUACUCCUGACUGACCGAUAGUGAACCAGUACCGUGAGGGAAAGGCGAAAAGAACCCCGGCGAGGGGAGUGAAAAAGAACCUGAAACCGUGUACGUACAAGCAGUGGGAGCCUCUUUAUGGGGUGACUGCGUACCUUUUGUAUAAUGGGUCAGCGACUUAUAUUCUGUAGCAAGGUUAACCGAAUAGGGGAGCCGAAGGGAAACCGAGUCUUAACUGGGCGUUAAGUUGCAGGGUAUAGACCCGAAACCCGGUGAUCUAGCCAUGGGCAGGUUGAAGGUUGGGUAACACUAACUGGAGGACCGAACCGACUAAUGUUGAAAAAUUAGCGGAUGACUUGUGGCUGGGGGUGAAAGGCCAAUCAAACCGGGAGAUAGCUGGUUCUCCCCGAAAGCUAUUUAGGUAGCGCCUCGUGAAUUCAUCUCCGGGGGUAGAGCACUGUUUCGGCAAGGGGGUCAUCCCGACUUACCAACCCGAUGCAAACUGCGAAUACCGGAGAAUGUUAUCACGGGAGACACACGGCGGGUGCUAACGUCCGUCGUGAAGAGGGAAACAACCCAGACCGCCAGCUAAGGUCCCAAAGUCAUGGUUAAGUGGGAAACGAUGUGGGAAGGCCCAGACAGCCAGGAUGUUGGCUUAGAAGCAGCCAUCAUUUAAAGAAAGCGUAAUAGCUCACUGGUCGAGUCGGCCUGCGCGGAAGAUGUAACGGGGCUAAACCAUG